UCUCAGGGGGUGCCAGCCCUGGGAAGGGGUGUUCCUGGAAAGGUCUGCACACUGGGCUGCACAAGGUGUUUCCCUCCAAGAGUGGAGAAGAGUGGGGUUUGGAGUCCUCACGCUCCAGGGUCAUGGCCGCUGAGACUGGAGGAGCUGCAUUAGUCCCGUCUGAAUUCCGUGAUUUGGGCAGAAUUGCACUUGCCACGUUGAGCACACGCUCCAGCAAACCCCUGUGCUCUGAGGAAGCAGUGAAGGAGCAGGGAAAAGGCAGGUUUGUGAUCUUCCUCGCCAGGGCUGGCUUCAAGGAAACAA
rnacentral:lncRNA from 10 species